AGCGGCGGAUGGGUGAGUAACACGUGGGGAACCUGCCCCUAAGUCUGGGAUACCAUUUGGAAACAGGUGCUAAUACCGGAUAAUAAAGCAGAUCGCAUGAUCAGCUUUUGAAAGGCGGCGUAAGCUGUCGCUAAGGGAUGGCCCCGCGGUGCAUUAGCUAGUUGGUAAGGUAACGGCUUACCAAGGCGACGAUGCAUAGCCGAGUUGAGAGACUGAUCGGCCACAUUGGGACUGAGACACGGCCCAAACUCCUACGGGAGGCAGCAGUAGGGAAUCUUCCACAAUGGACGCAAGUCUGAUGGAGCAACGCCGCGUGAGUGAAGAAGGUUUUCGGAUCGUAAAGCUCUGUUGUUGGUGAAGAAGAAUAGAGGUAGUAACUGGCCUUUAUUUGACGGUAAUCAACCAGAAAGUCACGGCUAACUACGUGCCAGCAGCCGCGGUAAUACGUAGGUGGCAAGCGUUGUCCGGAUUUAUUGGGCGUAAGGCGAGCGCAGGCGGAAAAAUAAGUCUAAUGUGAAAGCCCUCGGCUUAACCGAGGAACUGCAUCGGAAACUGUUUUUCUUGAGUGCAGAAGAGGAGAGUGGAACUCCAUGUGUAGCGGUGGAAUGCGUAGAUAUAUGGGAGAACACCAGUGGCGAAGGCGGCUCUCUGGCCUGCAACUGACGCUGAGGCUCGAAAGCAUGGGUAGCGAACAGGAUUAGAUACCCUGGUAGUCCAUGCCGUAAACGAUGAGUGCUAAGUGU
rnacentral:rRNA from 1 species